AAACCGUUUAGCGGCACGCUUUUUUCCACAUGUUGAAGUAAAUAAUAUAUCCUUUUUAGAGUCGCCCAUCCUCGCAGCUAUACUACAUGAUCGGCAGAUUAGAGCUCAGGUGGGUGACCACUGGGGAACCCCUGCUGUUGUAUGUUUUUG
rnacentral:rRNA from 1 species